UCCCUGGUGGUCUAGUGGUUAGGAUUCAGUGCUUUUACCUCUGCAGCCCAAGUUUGAUCCCUGAUCUGGGAA
rnacentral:tRNA from 1 species